rnacentral:snRNA from 8 species
CGCUGUGCUGACCCCUGCGAAUUUCCCAAAUGUGGAAAUCUCGAUUGCAUAAUUUAUGGUAGUGGGGGACUGCGUUCGCGCUCGCCCCUG